AAUGAACGCUGGCGGCGUGCUUAACACAUGCAAGUCGAGCGGUAAGGCCCUUUCGGGGGUACACGAGCGGCGAACGGGUGAGUAACACGUGGGUGACCUGCCCUCAGCUCUGGGAUAAGCCUGGGAAACCGGGUCUAAUACCGGAUAUGACUCCAUGACGCAUGUUGUGGGGUGGAAAGCCUUGUGCGGCUGAGGAUGGGCCCGCGGCCUAUCAGCUUGUUGGUGGGGUGAUGGCCUACCAAGGCGACGACGGGUAGCCGGCCUGAGAGGGCGACCGGCCACACUGGGACUGAGACACGGCCCAGACUCCUACGGGAGGCAGCAGUGGGGAAUCUUGCGCAAUGGGCGAAAGCCUGACGCAGCGACGCCGCGUGAGGGAUGACGGCCUCGG
rnacentral:rRNA from 1 species